CGGCAUCCCUUACACAUGCAAGUCGAACGGCAACAGGUCUUCGGAUCACCUGACGAGUGGCGAACGGGUGAGUAAUACAUCGGAAUGUGCCCGAUAGUGGGGGAUAACGGAGCGAAAGCCGUGCUAAUACCGCAUAAGACCUGAGGAUGAAAGCAAGGGACCGCAAGGCCUUGCGCUGAUGGAGCGGCCGAUAUCAGAUUAGCUAGUUGGUGGGAUAAAAGCUCACCAAGCCGACGAUCUGUAGUUGGUCUGAGAGGACGACCAGCCACACUGGGACUGAGACCCGGCCCAGACUCCUACGGCAGGCAGCAGUGGGGAACUCUGGACAAUGGGCGCAAGCUGAUCCAGCAAUGCCGCGUGCAGGAUGAAGGCCUUCGGGUUGUAAACUGCUUUUGUCCGGAACGAAAAGAUCUGGUUAAUACCUGCGGUCCAUGACGGUACCUGAAGAAUAACCACCGCCUAACUACGUGCCAGCAGCCGCGGUAAUACGUAGGGUGCCACGCGUUACUCGGAAUUACUGGGCGUAAAGCGUGCGCAGG
rnacentral:rRNA from 1 species